rnacentral:rRNA from 1 species
GAUGAACGCUGGCGGCGUGCCUAAUACAUGCAAGUCGAGCGAACAGAUAAGGAGCUUGCUCCUUUGACGUUAGCGGCGGACGGGUGAGUAACACGUGGAUAACCUACCUAUAAGACUGGGAUAACUUCGGGAAACCGGAGCUAAUACCGGAUAACAUAUUGAACCGCAUGGUUCAAUAGUGAAAGGCGGCUUUGCUGUCACUUAUAGAUGGAUCCGCGCCGUAUUAGCUAGUUGGUAAGGUAACGGCUUACCAAGGCAACGAUACGUAGCCGACCUGAGAGGGUGAUCGGCCACACUGGAACUGAGACACGGUCCAGACUCCUACGGGAGGCAGCAGUAGGGAAUCUUCCGCAAUGGGCGAAAGCCUGACGGAGCAACGCCGCGUGAGUGAUGAAGGUCUUCGGAUCGUAAAACUCUGUUAUCAGGGAAGAACAAAUGUGUAAGUAACUGUGCACAUCCUGACGGUACCUGAUCAGAAAGCCACGGCUAACUACGUG